CUUCCUAGGAGGAAAUAACUCUGCUUCUCAAUCACAGUCUUCUGACUUUUUGCAGCCACCCAGAACUGGCUGUUGGAAUUGAGCCUCUCCAUCUCAACCUCGUGUCCUUGAUCUUUUAGGGGACGUGCUCCAUUUGACCAACUCUACCACGUCCUCAGGCCUCCCAGCGGCUUAAAGGAGACUCUUCUCCACAAAGUGGGUGAAAUGGUGCUCCUUUUGAAGUGCCUGAAGAUGAGCAGGGCCCAGCCCAACAUUGUUGCAGAGUAGGAGAAUGGCAUCGGGAUAGCUAAAAUAAAACUGCAUCAGCAAGAAAACCUCCUGCCAUUUCAUCUUGCUCACACCUUCCAGGGAGACAGCAUUUCCUGACUUCGUUGAGGGUAAUUUUUCCUGUACCAGAAGCAUUGCCUCUGUUUGCAAAAGAGGCUCUCCAGGCAUCCAGGUUGUUCACUUGGGAUUGUUUCCUUGGCAUUUGGGACCCAGGUAUGGAAACGUGGGGCAUGUGCUGCUGGAAUUGUUGUCAAGGAAAUUUAAUCAUAGAAUCACAGAAUGGUUAGAGUUGGAAGGGACCUUAAAGAUCAUCCAGUUCCAACCCCCCUGCCCUGGGCAGGGACACCUCCCACCAGACCAGGUUGCUCCAAGCCCCCUCCAACCUGGCCUUGAACCCCUCCAGGGAUGGGGCAGCCACAGCUUCUCUGGGCAACCUGGGCCAGGCUCUCACCACCCUCACAGCAAAG
rnacentral:lncRNA from 1 species